rnacentral:tRNA from 1 species
UUGUUGGUGCGGUGGUAGAACACUAGCCUGUUAAGUCAGUAUCCGCUGGUUCGAUCCCUGCCAUAAGAA